rnacentral:tRNA from 1 species
GCCUGGGUGGCUCAGUCGGUUGGGCAUCCGACUUCAGUUCAGGUCAUGAUCUCGUGGAUCGUGGGUUUGAGCCCCGCGUCAGGCU